UUGUGUGUUAUUCAUAUUGUUUGACAAAGGAGCUGAGAAAAUUAUUUCUAAAACUGCAAAAGAACUUGCAGAGAUGCAAGAAGAGAUGUUGAAAUUAGAUGAGAAUACUUUACCAAAA